ACCCCGAUCAACGGACAAAAGCUACGCUAGGGAUAACAGCUUGAGACGCCCUAAGAGUCCAUAUCGACGGGCGAUUCCAAGACCUCGAUGUUGGAUCAUCGCGUCCUACGGCUGCAGGAGGUCGUAAGGGUUGGACUGUUCGUCCACUAAAGCGGUACGUGAUCUGAGUUCAGAACGUCAAAUGGCGUUUAUUCGGCUUUAUCGGCGAAACCGUCGGGGCUUUAACUGGGCCCCACGGCAAUGCCGAGGGAUUAAAUCAACUUAAGUUAAUUUUUUCCGUAGAGACUUCGGAACGGCUCCGCUGUUCCGAGAUAGCUUAUUCAUCAUUUGCUAUAAUACACCGACACUACUUAAUAGUAGUGAAGACAUAGUCCAAACCAGUUGGAAACAACUGGGUUUUUGCGUGAGACAGUUCGGUUUCUAUCUGUGUCAGCGUAAGGUUUAUAGCUGUUUAAAACAACUUUGCCGAUGCAAAAUAACCGCUGGGGGCGAGUACGAAAGGACCAGACUCCUGUGAACCUAUGGUGCACUAGUUGUCCGUAAAAGGGCAUAGCUAGAAAGCUAAGUUCAAUAAGGUUAAAUUGCUUUGAUUCAAUAACAACGAAUGACCC
rnacentral:rRNA from 1 species